GCAGCGGCGGUGACUAUUGUGGUGGUAGCAAUUCCCGAAGGUCUGCCUCUGGCUGUAACUCUAACUCUUGCUUACUCCAUGAAGAGAAUGAUGAAUGAUAAUGCACUGGUGCGUCAACUCUCUGCAUGUGAAACAAUGGGUUCAGCCACAAUGAUCUGCACUGACAAAACAGGCACUCUCACUUUGAAUCAGAUGAAAGUUGUAGAGUUUUGGCUUGGAAAAGACCUAAUUGAGGAUGAUAUUUCAAUGGAAAUGGAACCGAAGGUCUCUCUAUUACUAGAAGAAGGGGUUGCUUUAAAUACAACAGCCAUCAUUGACAAAUCACAAUCUACUUCUAUACCUGAGAUUUCUGGUAGUCCAACUGAGAAGGCGAUAUUAUCUUGGGCUGCCCUAGAUUUGGGAAUGAAUAUCAAUGAAACAAAGAGAAAGUGUGAGAUAAUAAAUGUAGAAACCUUCAAUUCCGAGAGAAAAAGAAGUGGGGUAAUGAUGAGGAAAAACAAUGAGAAAGCAAUUCACACACACUGGAAGGGAGCUGCUGAGAUGAUAGUAGCAAUGUGUUCAACCUAUUACGUUAGAAGUGGAGAACUAGUAGACAUGAAUGAGGAAGAAAGAAAGCAAUUUAAGGAUAUAAUACAUAGUAUGGGCGCCAAAAGCCUGCGAUGCAUUGCCUUUGCGCACAGAAAGGUUGCCGAACAAAACGGGCAAGUCUCUAGAAUGCUUGAUGAAACUGAAUGUACCUUACUGGGGCUUGUGGGAUUGAAGGACCCAUGUAGACCAGGGGUUAGAGCAGCUGUAGAAUCAUGUAAGAAAGCAGAAGUUAAUGUUAAAAUGAUCACUGGUGACAAUCCUGACACCGCAAGAGCUAUAGCUAUUGAAUGUGGAAUUCUCAAUCCGGCAGAGGAUGUGGAUUAC
rnacentral:lncRNA from 1 species